rnacentral:tRNA from 3 species
UGGAGCAGCUUGGUAGCUCGUCGGGCUCAUAACCCGAAGGUCGUCGGUUCAAAUCCGGCUCCCGCAACCA